rnacentral:rRNA from 1 species
CCUACGGGAGGCAGCAGUAGGGAAUCUUCCACAAUGGGCGAAAGCCUGAUGGAGCAACGCCGCGUGGGUGAAGAAGGUCUUCGGAUCGUAAAACCCUGUUGUUAGAGAAGAAAGUGCGUGAGAGUAACUGUUCACGUGUCGACGGUAUCGAACCAGAAAGCGACGGCUAACUACGUGCCAGCAGCCGCGGUAAUACGUAGGUGGCAAGCGUUAUCCGGAUUUAUUGGGCGUAAAGGGAACGCAGGCGGUCUUUUAAGUCUGAGGUGAAAGCCUUCGGCUUAACCGGAGUAGUGCAUUGGAAACUGGGAGCCUUGAGUGCAGAAGAGGAGAGUGGAACUCCAUGUGUAGCGGUUACAUGCGUAGAUAUAUGGAAGACCCCCAGUGGCGCACGCGGCUCUCUGGUCUGUACCUGACGCUGAGGUUCGAAAGCGUGGGUAGCAAACAGGAUUAGCUACCCCAGUAGUC